CCCUUAGAUGUUCUGGGCCGCACGCGCGCUACACUGUUCGACGCAGCGAGUCUUAACCUUGACCGAAAGGUUUGGGUAAUCUUCAGCAAAGUCGAACGUGAUGGGGAUCGAUCAUUGCAAUUAUUGAUCGUGUACGAGGAAUUCCUAGUAAGUGCAAGUCAUCAGCUUGCGCUGAUUACGUCCCUGCCCUUUGUACACACCGCCCGUCGCUACUACCGAUUGAAUGGUUUAGUGAGAUCUCUGGAUUGACGCUGGCUAGGGGGCGACCCUUGGCCAGGCUGUCGAGAAACUGCUCAAACUUGAUCAUUUAGAGGAAGUAAAAGUCGUAACA
rnacentral:rRNA from 1 species